CCUACGGGAGGCAGCAGUGGGGAAUAUUGGGCAAUGGGCGCAAGCCUGACCCAGCAACGCCGCGUGAAGGAAGAAGGCUUUCGGGUUGUAAACUUCUUUUCUCAGGGACGAAGCAAGUGACGGUACCUGAGGAAUAAGCCACGGCUAACUACGGGCCAGCAGCCGCGGUACUACGUAGGUGGCAGGCGGUAUCCGGUUUUACUGGGUGUAAAGGGUGUGUAGGCGGGACUGCAAGUCAGAUGUGAAAACCACGGGCUCAACCUGUGGCCUGCAUUUGAAACUGUAGUUCUUGAGUGCUGGAGAGGCAGGCGGAAUUCCUAGUGUAGCGGUGAAAUGCGUAGAUAUUAGGAGGAACACCAGUGGCGAAGGCGGUCUGCUGGACAGCAACUGACGCUGAGGCGCGAAAGCGUGGGGAGCAAACAGGAUUAGAUACCCUAGUAGUC
rnacentral:rRNA from 1 species